ensembl:lncRNA
CUUUUAGAUUUAAACCGGAUUAGAUCUAAGACGAACGUGACCGUUGCUGUCUUGAAUCAGCCACAGGAGAGGUUCGUGGAACUAGGCCUAUUAAUAUCCCCUCAUGAGGAAAAGGUCCAUAUUCAGGAGCAAGUUGACCAGGACUCUUCCAUUAUUGAAGCUUCCCAUAAGUGACCCAAGGACUCCUCAGUGGUGUGGGUUCUUUGUGAAUCAUCCCUGCUACAGGACCCCCAGAGCUCCACUUACAACCGGUUUGGCUGUAGGACUCUGCAUCUGUUCCCCAUCAGUUACU